AGUUGAUGUGUGGGGCAAUCCCCAGUCUGGGCUCUCUGAACUCAGGCAGGAUGGCCCUGACUUUUAACAAACUAGAACCAGAGCCAAGUCCUCAGGGACUCCUGGCAAACUUUUGGAGUGAUGGGGUAUGUAGUGUACUGUCAAAAACAUCUGCUGUGCAAGCUCUUUACCUGUGCACUGCUACCUAUCUUGAAGACUGGUUCACUGAUGAUGUCAUGGACAUUAGAAAUACAGUCUUUUGAUUCCCACAAUACCUACGCAGUCCACAAAGGAGUGUCCUUGGAUCCUUUGGAGUUAUCCGUGAGUCACUGUGUGUGGGUGCUGAGAUCUAAACUCCUGUAUUCUGUUGGAGCAGAAAGUGCUAACAUUGAUCCAUUGCUCUACUCCUUAUUUAAAAAAAAUUAUAAGAAAUAUCACAGUGGUUUUAUUUUCUCUGUGUGGUGUGAUUUAGAGUGUUUGGUUAAGAUGUCUUUAAUAGGUUUCGUUUAAUAAUCAAAGGAAGACCAAUAGUAUGAAAAACGUCAUGAAGCUCUUUAUGUGCCAUUCUACUCACGGAUAGUUUUACUCUUUCACCUGUAGGUAAAAUUUAGGUCUGAGUCUCUCUCAAGGAGACUGUUGAGAGAGUCUCUUUCACAGAAAUUUUUGUAGACCAUUUUUCUAACCAAAAUAUAGCAUACUUCUUUGAAGUGUAAGUUUUUACUUUCAUUGGAAACUCAGUUGUAUAACUGAUGUUGUUCUGGAAGCUGUCUUAUAAGGCCAAACAGAUGCUUGAGGAGAUUUUUGCUGAAAGAGGCAUGCGAGAUGUGUUGCAGAUGGAGAUAAAUGAGAGGGUCCGUGAUAUUUGGAAAGAGUAUUAGUAGAACCCCACAGUCAAUGAAAGGACUCUCUUACAUUUCUACACCUUGCAAUGGUUUGCUGGUCUCUGCUGGUCUUUACUUCGUAGAGAGAAGCAUGCGAGGUAUUCCUGCUGAUUCUGCUCACUUCGGCUGACUCCUGGCAGUUCAGGGGAAGUGCCCUUGCAGUUUUGGCUGGAUGGAGCUGCCACUACUGGCCCUGUGCUCUGGGACUGAACUGCUAGUAUCCUGACAAUAAAGAGUGAAAUUGCGGGAAAGGGCGGCUCAGGUCCUCCUGGUUGCUGCCCUCCCGGAGAGCUCAUGAGCAACACCCCACCAGCAAACUUGAGCCUUGGGACCACAGGUAAGACCAUCUUUUCUGCUCCAAGCGACCUGACUGGUGGCCUUAGGACACACAGAGGCAAAAUUCCUCUAGGACCUGACCCUUCCGGUUUUUAGCAGGAUUCCCACCUCGAGAACCCCGCCCCCAGCUCACUGCUCCCAAACCCUGUGGGAGAGAGAGCUCUCCACCCUGACAGGUAGGCACUCCUGAGACUGCAGAGCAGAAGAGACCACCAACACUGCCCACCCCUGCCCACAUCCCUGGCCCAAAAGGAAACUGUAUACGGCCUCUGGGAUCCUGUAGAUAUGGGCACUGGAGCAGCAGGUCCCCGGACCGAGACACCUCCGGAACCUGAAGGGACCGACCAGAAAAAGAGUUCUCUGCAGCCAAAUCCCAUGGGAGGGAGAGCUAAACCUUCAGAGAGGCAGACAUGCCUGGGAAGCCAGAAGAGACUACAUUCUGCCGACCAUUUCUGACUCCAGAGGAAAACACCAAAGGCCAUCUGGAACCCUGGUGCACGGGGGCUCCUGGAAAGGGCAGCGCAGGUCCUCCUGGUUGCUGCCCUUGCGGAGAGCUCAUAAAAAACACCCCACAAGGAAACUUCAGCCUCGGGACCACAGGUAAGACCAACUUUUCUGCUCCAAGAGACCUGACUGGUGAACUCAGGACACAGGCCCACAGGAACACCUGAAGACCUGUAGAUAGGAAAAACUACAUGCCCAGAAGCAGAAGACUCUGUUCCCAUAACUGGCUAAAAGAAAACAGGAAAACAGGUCUACAGCACUCCUGACACAGGCUUAUCAGACAGUCUAGCCACUGUCAGAAAUAGCAGAACAAAGUAAAACCAGAGAUAAUCUGAUGGCAAGAGGCAAGCACAGGAACCCAAGCAAUAGAAACCAAGACUAGAUGGCAUCAUUGGAACCCAAUUCUCCCACCAAAGCAAACAGUGAACAUCCAAACACACCAGAAAAACAAGAUCUAGAUUCAAAAUCAUAUUUGAUCACAAUGCUGGAGGACUUCAAGAAAGACAUGAAGAACUCCCUUAGAGAAAUGCAGGAAAACAUAAAUAAACAAGUAGAAGCCUAUAGAGAGGAAUCACAAAAAUCCCUGAAAGAAUUCCAGAAAAACACAAUCAAACAGUUGAAGGAAUUAAAAAUGGAAAUAGAAGCAAUCAAGAAAGAACACAUGGAAACAACCCUGGAUAUAGAAAACCAAAGGAAGAGACAAGGAGCUGUAGAUACAAGCAUCACCAACAGAAUAAAAGAGAUAGAAGAGAGAAUCUCAGGAGCAGAAGAUUCCAUAGAAAUCAUCGACACAACUGUCAAAGAUAAUGUAAAGCAGAAAAAGCUACUGGUCCAAAACAUACAGGAAAUCCAGGACUCAAUGAGAAUAUCAAACCUAAGGAGAAUAGGUAUAGAAGAAAGUGAAGACUCACAGCUCAAAGGACCAGUAAACAUCUUCAACAAAAUCAUAGAAGAAAACUUCCCUAACCUAAAGAAAGAGAUGCCCAUAAGCAUACAAAAAGCCUACAGAACUCCAAAUAGAUUGGACCAGAAAAGAAACAACUCCCGUCACAUAAUAGUCAAAACACCAAAUGCACAAAAUAAAGAAAGAAUAUUAAAAGCAGUAAGGGAAAAAGGUCAAGUAACAUGAAAAGGCAGACCUAUCAGAAUCACACCAGACUUUUCGCCAGAGACUAUGAAAGCCAGAAGAUCCUGGAUAGAUGUCAUACAGACCCUAAGAGAACACAAAUGCCAGCCCAGGUUACUGUAUCCUGCAGAACUCUCAAUUAACAUAAAUGGAGAUAUUCCAUGACAAACCAAAUUUACACAAUAUCUUUCUACAAAUCCAGCACCACAAAGGAUAAUAUAUGGUAAAGCCCAACAUAAGGAGGCAAGAUACACCCUAGAAAAAGUAAGAAACUAAUCGUCUUGGCAACAAAACAAAGAGAAGAAAAGCACACAAACAUAACCUCACAUCCAAAUAUGAAUAUAACAGGAAGCAAUAAUCACUGUUCCUUAAUAUCUCUCAACAUCAGUGGUCUCAACUCCCCAAUAAAAAGACAUAGAUUAACAAACUGGAUACGCAAUGAGGACCCUGCAUUCUGUUGCCUACAGGAAACACACCUCAGAGACAAAGACAGACACUACCUCAGAGUGAAAGGCUAGAAAACAACUUUCCAAGCAAAUGGUCAGAAGAAGCAAGCUGGAGUAGCCAUUCUAAUAUCGAAUAAAAUCAAUUUUCAACUAAAACUCAUCAAAAACGAUAACGAAGGACACUUCAUAUUCAUCAAAGGAAAAAUCCACCAAGAUGAAAUCUCAAUCCUAAAUAUCUAUGCCCCAAAUAUAAGGGCACCUACAUACGUAAAGGAAACCUUACUAAAGCUCAAAACACACAUUGCACCUCAGACAAUAAUAGUAGGUAAUUUCAACACCCCAUCUCAUCAAUAGAUAGGUUAUGGAAACAGAAAUUAAACAGAGAUGUAGACAGACUAAGAGAAGUCAUGAACCAAAAGGACUUAACAGAUAUUUAUAGAACAUUCUAUCCUAAAGCAAAAGGAUAUACAUUCUUCUCAGCUCCUCAUAGUACUUUCUCCAAAAUUGACUAUAUAAUAGGUCAAAAAACGGGCCUCAACAGGUACAGAAAGAUAGAAAUAAUCCCAUGCAUACUAUCGGACCACCACGGCCUAAAACUGGUCUUCAAUAACAAUAAGGGAAGAACGCCCACAUAUAAGUGGAAAUUGAACAAUGCUCUAUUCAAUGAUAACCUGGUCAAGGAAGAAAUAAAGAAAGAAAUUAAAGACUUUUUAGAAUUUAAUGAAAAUGAAGGUACAACAUACCCAAACUUAUGGGACACAAUGAAAGCUGUGCUAAGAGGAAAACUCAUAGCGCAGAGUGCCUGCAGAAAGAAACAGGAGAGAGCAUAUGUCAGCAGCUUGACAGCAUACCUAGAAGCUCUAGAACAAAAA